rnacentral:lncRNA from 1 species
UUCGAUUUACUAUGGGAUAACCCCCACUGUUUUCGAAUCCAUCCCUAUCUCCUUCUUAUCUCAUCUCAUUCGGUUUACAGAUCUGACCCACCUGAAACCGAACCUUAGCUAAAAAUAAAAGCUCCUCAGCUCCUAGCGACGAUGCGUACGUGCGAAUGCGCCUCAAACGCGCCCAUUCGCGAGCUCGCGGCUCGGCUCGGCUCGGCGCGCGUGUGGGCUUCACCCACUUCUCAACCCAUUUACCACUUUGGAGGCCCAUAA